UUUUAUAUAUAUAUCGUUAUUAUUUAUAUUAUGAAGGUUCUUAGUGAUUUUAUAAUUAUAUUAAAUAUUAAAUUAUAUUGAAUUAAUUUAAUCGAUUACUUAUAUAUAUAAAUAAAUAAAUAAAAGGAUAACAUAUUUAUAAUAGAAAUAUACUUGUAAAUACUAUAAUAAAGAGAUUCAAAUUAAAUUAAUAUUUACAUUAAAAUUGUGAACACAAAAUGAGGCCUCACUAAAACAUUUUACCUAGAGGAGUUACGGUUUUAUUUUAACGUGAGAUUACUCCUUGCCAUAUAUUUCAGAGGUGCCGCAUAACUCCUUCCCUUUUCCAUCCUUCUUCUUUCUUCCUUAUCCUCCCUUCCUCCUUCCCUUGUUGUGCCGCCAACCAGCAGCACCGGCCACCCACGAGCAGCCGGAAGCCGCCGCCACCGUGAACAGAAGCCAGCUGCAGGAGCCGCAACUCCCUCCCACAACAGCAACCACAAGCUGUGUUUGAACCCAGCCAUGUGUGCCGCCAGCAAGCAGCGGCUGAAGUAGCCGAUUUUGUCCUCCCUCCAGCCGGUUUUGGGCCCUGUACCACCACCACCACUGUCUUUAUUCACCUCUUCACCCUUUUGCUAGUUUUAUCUUUCAGGAGGAUCAUAGACAGGCGUGGCAGGUAUUGGAGCUUUUUUUGCAAUGCAUUGCAUUGGGGAUGGUGAUGAGGGCGAAGCAUAACCCUUGUCAUACCGUUAGCUUCCGAUUGUAGCUCUUGUUUAUCUUUUGUAAACUUUGGUUGUAUACGUUUUGUUAUGAGGCCUUGUGUACUCCUUUGUAUAUUUGUCUUUCCGUUGCAUAGUUUAUAACUUUGUAUGGUUUUUAAAGAGUUGAGUCAUUUUAAACGCAAGCGUUGACACUAGAACCACGAUCCAUACUUGGCAUGUUGAUUUGAGAAGCCGGAGACGAAUCAUUCCGCCGUGGUGUGAGAUUUUAAAGGCAAUGAUGCCUUAGAUUAGUUUAAUGUUUUUAUUGUGCUAAUUGCUCUACCACAUGUUCGAUUUUUAAGAGAAAUGCUGUCGAAAUUUCUACUCAUAAUUUCUUUUAAAAUUUAAUAUUA